rnacentral:rRNA from 1 species
UACAGAGGGUGCGAGCGUUAAUCGGAAUUACUGGGCGUAAAGGGUGCGUAGGUGGUUGAAUGAGUUAGGUGUGAAAGUCCCGGGCUUAACCUGGGGAUUGCGCCUAAUACUGUUUGGCUGGAGUACUGUAGAGGGAAGUGGAAUUUCCGGUGUAGCGGUGAAAUGCGUAGAUAUCGGAAGGAACAUCAGUGGCGAAGGCGACUUUCUGGACAGAUACUGACACUGAGGCACGAAAGCGUGGGGAGCAAACAGG